rnacentral:rRNA from 1 species
AUGGCGUCUCCCAAUGAAGCUGACGACGACAAUUUUGGAUACAAAGAGGGGAAAAAAGAGUACAUGCUGGAGACUAUGCAAUGUUUGCUAUUUGCUAGAGAGAACCUCCCCGACGACGUGUACCACGAGUUUGUCAAGACCAUGACCGGCAUUUGGAAAAAACGUGCCGACCCUGAUGGUGAAAUAAGGAAUAUCUGCCCUGAAAACUGCAUAGAGACGGCCUUGAAGCUAUUCCAGGGCUGUCCUACAGUUAAACAGAGCUUCCUGAACUUUACCGAAGGCCGUAGCCCCUUCGAAGGCAAUGGCAAUGUCGAUGCCGUUGCUGUCAACCCCCUGGUGCAGAAACCAAUGGAUUUUCUUUCCAGAGUGAAGACAUGUCCUAACAUCAGCGACGAUGAUUAUGCUGCUUUUUUGCAAACCAUGCAAGAUUUUUGCAGGGACAGGACCAUGACCCCUCGAGAAGUUUACAGUAAUGUGGAGAGAUGCAUGCGUAACUGUCCCGAGCUGUUGGAAGAGUUUAUAGAUAAUUUUCUCCCGGCAGACCUGAAGGUCUUAGUUAAAGAAAAUGAUAAUCACAGCUUGGAUGGUGUCCAUAUGAAAGAAGGUAAUGGAGUGUCGCCUCACACUGAAGAGGACGAGGAAGACAAGGUUAAACGCUUGCCAGAAUGGACUACCUCAAGAAUUGAUGAAUUACCCCCAAAAUUGGAACCCAAGGAACUCAAAAGACAUUGCACUCCUAGCUAUUACCUGCUGCCAGAUAAUUGUACACCUCUAUUGAGUUACCGGACCAAACUGGGAAGGUCUAUUCUCAAUGAUGCUUUGAUUUGUCCUGUAUCUGAGGAGGAAAGCCCUAACCAUAAAGCUGCAAAUGAAUAUGAAGCAAAAAUGUUGCUUUGCGAAGAAGACAUGUUUGAGAGUGACAUGCUCCUGCAGUGGUUUAGUGUGACUGCAGACUUCAUUGCGAAUCUCCAACAUCGUGUUCGCAGCCAUGUUAAGAUUAAGGAACAACUAACUCCUCUACACAGGAGGUGCAUCAUAAGACUAUAUGGUGAGGAAUUUCUUGAAGCUCUGUUGGAUACCGACAAUGCUAGUGCUGCUCUCCCUGUUAUACUUUCUCGUUUGAAUCAGAGCAUAGUAGAAAUAAGGGAGUCACGAUUGCGUUUGCAUAAGACUUGCUCAGAAGUUAUAGCAAAAAAUUACUACAGAGCACUUGAUAAUCGCGGCCCCUGUUUCAAACAAUUGGAUGCAAAGAGAAUGAACCGAAAAGCUUUGCUGGCUGAAGCCAAAGAAAUCAAUGCAAUGAAGCCGAAGCCUGAAGAUCAAUAUGCCAAAGAAAUCAAUGCAAUGAAGCCUAAGGCUGAAGAUCGACAUGCCAAAGAAAUCAAUAAAAUGAAGCCAAAGGCCGAAGAUCAAUAUGCUAAUCCUGAUAUACACGAGGACAUAAGCAGUAUAAUCUCCUCUGCAUGCGCUUCUGAAGAGAAGCAGAUGGUGACUUGGACAAAAAUAGUACAUCCAUUUCUUUCUGCUCACUGUGCACAGCCUUCAUCAGAGGAAACUGUAGCUCCUGAAAAAGCUUGUGAACAUUGCGGCACCAGAAAAGAUAUUCUCAAUGACAAUCCUGAUGCUUUCACUGACAAUAAUCUUCCUCUAUCCUCCAAGAGAGGUGAAUUCGUAAGCAAAAAUUCCAAAGACUUUAGCUCUUCACACGAUGGUUCUGGUGCAGAUAUUGAGGAAGGCGAGUUCAUACCCGAUCGAGAAACCAUUAUAUUGGAUGUCAUGCGUGGUGCCGGAAAAGAACCAGUAAGUUGUGAUGUUGCUGGUUCUGUUAGAGAUGGGUUGAGCUCUCGUUGCCGCAUAAUCGAUACUUCCGAACCUAGUACUCGUGACCAUGGGGCCAAACAUGAAAAGCAGCAUGAAUCAAGGCAAACAUCUGCUAAACCACGUGGUGUGAAAGGAGGUACUUGUUGUUUCAUCGUUGUGCUUCGCAGGCUUUACCAGAUUUUAUAUAACAGACUACAGAAUGCGAGAUAUUUAUGCACCAGUGACGACCUAUAUGCAGAAUUUAAGGACAAACUCACCAAGCUGCAUUAUCGCGCUAUUGAUAAUUCCAAUUUUGAGGACUUCUGCCUGAAAUAUCUUGGGCCAAUGUCUUUUGAACUUUUUACUCUGGAUACAGUGAUAAACCAAGUUAUCAAGCAGCUGUGCAUAAUUUCUUCCAAGGAUCCAGACAACUCAAUCGUUCAAUUCCUGGAGAACUUACAAAGGCCAGUUCUACCCAAUGAAUUGCCGAAGCAUGAUCGAGAGGAGCAGGAGAAAGCUCUAGAUUAUACCGUAAAACUUCCACGCCAUUUUGAGAGACGGAAAAAACGCAAAUUGGAGAACAGCGCAACAGGUUCAUGUCAGCUUGGAGGAGUGACUGAAACUCAUCACUGA